UCUCCCUCCGGCCGGCCCCGGCAAAAAAUUUGGUUCAAUUCCAAAUCGUGCGCGCUGACCAGGUUCCUUCUAACCUUGGCUCCCCAAAUCCUCCACACACACGGACACACCAGCUACGCAGCUAUGGCGACGGCUCGCGUCGUCUUCUCCCGGGGGCGCACCCUCUCGCGGCGGCGGCGCCUUCUCCCGGGGGCGCACCCUCUCGCGGCGAGGCCUCCUUCUCCCGGGGACUCGCCCUCUCGCGGCGACGCCUCCUUCUCCCGGGGACUCGCCCUCUCGCGGCGACUCCUCCUCUGGCGCCCUCAAAGGCUCCUGCUCUGAAUCCUGGGAUCUCCAAUCUUUAAUGUUUACUUGGACAACAUCGAGAGUUCCUUGAGGACAACAUUCAAUGGAGUCAGACAAUACUUCAAAUUGAUCCUCCAAAGAGACAAUGUGCAACUCCCAGAGGGAAAAUUGGUGACUCAUCCCAAGGGUUGGAUCAUUUUAAGGAUCAGCCCUUCGCCAUCCUCUCAUGACUGCUCAGAGUCAGUAUAUGCACUGUACAGAACACAUGAUAUGUACUUGGAUAGCAUCGUGGCAAAACAAGUUUGCUACAGGUUCAAUGAUCACGAUCGUUCCAUAUCAUUACCGAAGGAGUUACAGAAAGAGGGUACACUCAUAAUGGCACAGAUGUCAAAAUACUUUAAUUUGGGUUUUAAUCCCAAAGAACAUAACCAGAUAACCGUCGGAGAUGAUGUUAUUAGAAGACAUUACCAGGUGCUCUUAGGGAUUGCUAAUAUGGAUCUGUCUCAGGAAGGAAAUGUUGACAUCAGCUUGAAACGGACUCUUCUCUUCUUUGUUCUGCUAGCCGAAGCUCUACGGUUUCCCGAGCUCGAAAAGUGGUUACUGAAUAUCUUGGCAAAGAAGUUGGAAAUGUCAGUCCCGGUUAGUAUAACCAAACUCUUCAACAGUUGGGGAACGCUCUCCAAGAUUCUUCAUAAAGGCAGAGAAAAUUUCAGCAUUGGCGAUAUUACUGUUGAGCUGCUGAGUAACUGUAAAACAUAUGAUGAUAUAUGUUCCAUAUUGGGAAUAGCGAACAAAAUUAACUUGAGAAAAUUGGAGAAAAAGAAGAAGAAGAAGAACAGGCUCUAAGGCAAGCAUUUUCUUUCUUUACUUCAUUGGAAAUUCGAAAUACUUGUCACAUGCAGUACUGCUUUACUUGACAAUAGCACUGUUUUCUUCAACAGUAGGGGAUGUUUAUUGUGCUUCUACCUCGCUUUGCAGGUCAUCAUAGAUGUUACAAAGCUGGUCCAUAUUUAGCUGUUGAGCAAGGCCUUCAGCAGGCAUGUUAAUAAUGUUGAGCUUCGUCUCUCUAUAUAGCGUCUGUCCGUCUUGAGUCUACAUAGGGUUCAGCUUGGACAAGUGUCAAAAAUCUGUUGGGGAAAACAAGUGUUUUGAUCCAUGAAUGGAAGAUUCUGUGUAAAGGAAGUCAAUUGGUACUGCUGCAACGCUAUGUACUACUUCUAGACCGUCGAGGAAGCAAGCUGCUGAGAAUUGCCUGCCGUUGAAGGCACAAAAAGGGGCCUUCCUGCGAGCCCACUCCGGGUGAUGUUCCUGUAACAAAAAUGGGAGGGAAAUGAUGUAACAGUUACGCGUGACCUUUGCUAUUUUGCUGUUGAAGCUGUCUGUUUUGUUGUGAGGUGUAACCUGGUAAAUGUUCUUGUUUGGUGAGGGGGUCUGACCCAGCAACUUUAGCUCAGCUGGAGCGCUGGGAACAGUUCGUUUGGUUUUGCUUUGUGGCCCCGUGUUAAUAAAAAUGAGGUGGGGGGAAACCCCUUUUUGUAAAAAAAAAUGAUUUGGCAAUACAAAUUGCUUUAGAGGUUGCUCUUUGUCCUGUACAUGGU